rnacentral:rRNA from 1 species
CCUACGGGAGGCUGCAGUGGGGAAUAUUGGACAAUGGGCGAAAGCCUGAUCCAGCCAUGCCGCGUGUGUGAAGAAGGCCUUCGGGUUGUAAAGCACUUUCAGUGGGGAAGAAAGCCUUGGGGCUAAUACCCUCGAGGAAGGACAUCACCCACAGAAGAAGCACCGGCUAACUCCGUGCCAGCAGCCGCGGUAAUACGGAGGGUGCGAGCGUUAAUCGGAAUUACUGGGCGUAAAGCGCGCGUAGGCGGUCUGAUAAGCCGGUUGUGAAAGCCCCGGGCUCAACCUGGGAACGGCAUCCGGAACUGUCAGGCUAGAGUGCAGAAGAGGAAAGUAGAAUUCCCGGUGUAGCGGUGAAAUGCGUAGAGAUCGGGAGGAAUACCAGUGGCGAAGGCGGCCUUCUGGACUGACACUGACGCUGAGGUGCGAAAGCAUGGGUAGCAAACAGGAUUAGAUACCCCUGUAGUC